UACGGAGGGGGCUAGCGUUGUUCGGAAUUACUGGGCGUAAAGCGCACGUAGGCGGCCUUGUAAGUUAGAGGUGAAAGCCCAGGGCUCAACCCUGGAAUUGCCUUUAAGACUGCAUCGCUAGAAUUGUGGAGAGGUAAGUGGAAUUCCGAGUGUAGAGGUGAAAUUCGUAGAUAUUCGGAAGAACACCAGUGGCGAAGGCGACUUACUGGACACAUAUUGACGCUGAGGUGCGAAAGCGUGGGGAGCAAACAGG
rnacentral:rRNA from 1 species